GGUCUUAUGGUGUAACGGCUCUGGACUCUGAAUCCGGCAAUCCGAGUUCAAAUCUCAGUAAGGCCU
rnacentral:tRNA from 1 species